AGUGAACGCUGGCGGCAGGCCUAACACAUGCAAGUCGAGCGGCGAGCGGGUCCCCGCGAGGGGAUGCCGGCGAGCGGCGGACGGGUGAGGAACACAUCGGAAUCGUGCCCUGGUUGUGGGGGAUAACGUAGGGAAACUUACGCUAAUACCGCAUGCGACCCUGAGUCGACGGACUUGGGGUGAAAGUGAGGGACCUUCGGGCCUCACGCGACCAGAUGAGCCGAUGUCGGAUAGCUAGUUGGCGGGGUAACGGCCCGCCAAGGCGACGAUCCGUAGCUGGUCUGAGAGGAUGAUCAGCCACACUGGGACUGAGACACGGCCCAGACUCCUACGGGAGG
rnacentral:rRNA from 1 species